AGAGUUUGAUCCUGGCUCAGAAUGAACGCUGGCGGCGUGCCUAACACAUGCAAGUCGAGCGAGAAAGUCUCUUCGGAGAUAAGUACAGCGGCGGACGGGUGAGUAACGCGUGGGAAUUUACCCUUUAGUGAAGAAUACCUCUGAGAAAUCAGGGUUAAUACUGCAUACGUCCCUACGGGGAGAAAGGUGGCCUCUUGCUGCCGCUAAAGGAUAAGCUUGCGUACUAUUAGCUAGUUGGUGAGGUAAAGGCUCACCAAGGCGAUGAUGGUUAGCCGGCCUGAGAGGGUGUACGGCCACACUGGAACUUAGACACGGUCCAGACUCCUACGGGAGGCAGCAGUGAGGAAUAUUGCGCAAUGGGCGAAAGCCUGACGCAGCGACGCCGCGUGGAGGAUGAAGGUCUUCGGAUUGUAAACUCCUGUUAAGUGGGAAGAAAGACCUAUUUCUAAUACAGAUAGGGGAUGACGGUACCAUUAGAGAAAGCACCGGCUAACUUCGUG
rnacentral:rRNA from 1 species